UAAUUUGUUACCUAUGGUUCCCUUGCCAAUGAUUUUGCCUUUGUUGUUGUCUCCGAAGGUGACGUACCCUUCUUCUUUGCUAGUGAGCAUAGAGAAAUGAGAUGGAUCUCCAGUCAUGUGUCUUGAGCAUCCACUAUCAAGAUACCAUCUCUUGCUCCUAGCUUGUGGGUUUGUCUACAAAAGAGGAUAGUUUUUAGGUACCCAUUUGAUUUUGGGUGCCUCAAAAAUUGAUCUACCAAUUUUGUUAUUCAUCAUUGAACUAUUUAUAGUUCCUUUAGGAACCCAUAUCAACUUAUGUGGAAUAAUUUUCCUAAAUGG
rnacentral:lncRNA from 1 species